UACGGGGGGAGCAAGCGUUGUUCGGAUUUACUGGGCGUAAAGGGCGCGUAGGCGGCCACCGCAAGUCGACUGUGAAAUCUCCGGGCUUAACUCGGAAAGGUCAACUGAUACUGUGCGGCUAGAGUGCAGAAGGGGCAACUGGAAUUCUCGGUGUAGCGGUGAAAUGCGUAGAUAUCGAGAGGAACACCUGCGGCGAAGGCGGGUUGCUGGGCUGACACUGACGCUGAGGCGCGAAAGCUAGGGGAGCGAACGGG
rnacentral:rRNA from 1 species